rnacentral:tRNA from 1 species
GCCUGGGUGGCUCAGUGGGUUAAGCUUCUGACUGCAGCUCAGGUCAUGAUCUCAAAGUCUGUGGGUUUGAGCCCCAUGCUGGGCU